rnacentral:lncRNA from 1 species
AGGAAACUGACUUUAGAGAAUGGAAGGUGGUUGUUCAGGAGAUAGGUAAAUUUCUGAAGGCUGAUACCGGUUUAAUGAAUUUCAGACCUUUGAGAUACAGUCUUGUACUAGAUCGUCACCCUGAUUAUAUACCUCAUAUUGCUGAUGCCAAGAGAAAGCUCAAACUUAGAGAAGCAAUACUAUGCAGCUACCAUCCUAAUGAGGUUUAUACGUCUUUUCAUCGUAGUUUUUGGGUUUUGUUAACAAGUAUGUACUAACCGAUAUUAUAUUAUAAAGUCUAAUCAAUGCCCAAAUUGUAUAUUCUCUGUUAUGUUUAUAUGUGUAUCAUACAUCCCAGUUUUAAAAUAUUUUAACUAUAUCGAGGUGGUUAGAUACAUGUGAUUGUAAUGAUGGAGCCAAUGUAGCACAUAAAGUCGGAUAUGUUUCUAAAUUAUAGCAAUAAUAUCUUAAUUGUAAGGUCACUCACAAACGUCAUCAGGAGUAAUGGAUGGAAUUUUUGAAUAAUGACUAGGCAGUGUAUACUGGCUUGUGCAUGCACAACCAAGACCUUUUAAUCUUGUUAUAUGAAAUACUUAAAUCUUACUACACUAAGUACAGACAUUAUUUUAAUUAGCACUUAAAUAUACAAAAAUAUUAAAUUCAUUGCCGUGUCCUACCAUUUAAACUUGACUUCAGAAAUUAUAGAGUACAAUACUUUUAUUGAGUUAGUUAUUGGAAAUUCGUAUCAACCUUGAAGUUCAAAAAGAAGCUGGUUAUUUUUGAGGACUUGAUAAGCAGCAAUAUAAUUCUGAAAUCCCAAAUGGGUCUUUUUUUAGAACGAAGGUUGUUUGUGUAGUAUCCUAUUUUAUUUUAUGGAUGACACUUUUAGAGAACUUGAUAUCAUUAUAGCAGGAGUAGAGCAUGAAUUGGUAAACUCAAAUUGCUUCUUCACUGUUAUAUCUAUUUAUUUACUUAGUUUUUUGAUCAGAUCAAAUUUUCAGAGCUCACGCUUGAUACUUUCAGAAUGCUUCAAUGUCUGGAGUGGGAACCCAGUGGCUCAUUUUACCAGUCAACUGGUGCUGCAUCCGGCACUGUUCACAAGGGAGCCUCUGGCCCUAGUCGCAUAAACUACACACAGGAUAUAGCUGAUCCUACUUUGCCUGCUAACCCACGCAAAGCCAUGCUCUAUCGUCCAUCUGCUACACAUUUUAUUGCAGUGAGUAUAUUUCAUUGAAGCGGAGGUUUUUCAGAGGAAAGGCUUGUUAAAAUUGGGGUGUAGUAAUUUAUGAUAUAUAUAUAUAUAUGCUGAUUCCAUUAUAUCUUCAAUUCCAGCUUAUUUAGGCUGUAGAAAUUACUUUUGUAUGUAUUAUGGGACCCUGAGACUACAAUUAAAGGUAAGCCAUUAGGCAUAAUGUUACUUCUCUCUGCUUUUUAUUGCAGGUGCUGGCAACUUUGUGUGAGGAGCUUCCUCCUGACGGAGUUCUAUUAGUUUAUGUAUCUGCUUCAGGUGCUGCAGCUCUUUCUUAUGUCUUCGCCAUGGUCUUUCGACUUGCACAUAUAUUUAGCUAACUCAUAAUGAUUUGAGUUGCUUUAGGAAGUAUUGGACAUUUAGGUAAUGCUGACAACAAUAUCUUGAACUCGGAGCUUGGUUAUAUGCAGCUUGAAGAGGCUAGUACUCCUACUGGCUGCUUGCAAAUCGGUGCUCGAGGCGAUGGAGGUACAUAUUUCUGUCACUCAUAAUUUAAUAUAAUCGAUUGUGUUCCAAUUUGGAAGAUGCCUUACAUAUGUUUUUCUCACCAGGUUUAAAUUGCAUAUAUCCUUGUGACUUCAUUCCAUUUACAAGAAGGCCACUAUUUUUGAUUAUUGACAGUAGUAUGAGUGAAUCAUUCAAGGCAAGUCUUCUUACUGAUUUUUGCCUAAUAUAUAUUAGAAAUAUAUACAGUAGAACACUGAUAAAUGAAUAACCUUGAUAGAUAUUUUUAGCAUAUUUUUGACUUCAAACUUAAUAUAGACAAUGUAUUUUUAACCUCGAUAAAUGAAUAAAAUUCUGGGGUCCUGAGGGUAUUCAAUUUCAUGCACUGAUGUUUAACUAUAUAUGUAUUAUCUCAGCAUCAUCAAUCUUUUCGGUGAUGUAUUUAUAUAUAUAUCCUUGCCAUAGUUUCUUAAUGUAAUAAUUGUAUGCGAUGAGUUGAAUAGUAAAUUAAUAUGGGUUUAAUGAGUAAAAAUUCUUGAAAUAUUUAAUAAGCAAUAUAUUAUGUUUUGCAAUUGUCUUUCCUAAAAGUUUGAAUAUCUAUUAACCUGAUGGGUGAAAUUGAUUUCUGUAAUCCAUCCUAUGUGCUCAUGGGGUUCUCUGACAUUCUGGCCCUUAAGUUGUGGAAGAACAUUAGAUGUUAUUAAGCAAAUGAUAACUUCACAGACAAACAUAAUAUAAAGUAAAUGACAGGCUUUGAUUAAGUAAUGGUGUAGGACUGCUCAAGAAAAGGUAUGUAUCAAGAGCAAACAUGUAAUGAUCAUAUAAUCAAAGUAAUUAUCAACCAGGAUUAAUUUAUAUCCAAAUAAAUCAAUGUAUCUGGUUAAUAAAUUUAAUACUCCUUGAUCCCAUCACUGGUAUGAAAAAAGUUUGCUAUUUGAAUUUCCCAUCUCUAUGUAAAUGCAACAGGCCAUAAGUGGAACAGAAAAAGGAGAGCGUAUUGCGAUGCUUCUGUCUCCAACCUUUUCGUCUCCUACACCUGGACUUUUAGAUUCUAUUCCUCAGCCAAGUGGAAGCAUGUUUACCAGUUUCCUCACAGCUCCUUUGCAGGCUUUUCUUAUGUUGAUUGGAAUUUCAGGCUCUGAUAUUGAAAUGGUAAAUGUUAAUUCANACAAUAUCGUUUCGAGGAUAAAAUAGUUCGGAAUAAUCAUUUCACUCAAACGACAAAAUUUUAUGAUGAACAAAAUUUAAGUUGUUGAAUACUAUGUAAACAUAUGUAUCCAAAAUAUAGAUGGCUGCUGGAAUUCUCCCUUGACUGCCCACACAUCUUCUUUUGUAUAUAAUAUAAAAAUGAAAUGUAACUAAAAUAUAGAUCGUGAUUAUUCAUAUUUAAUAAUAUUUAAUAUCAGAAUAUACAUCAGACAUCAGUUACAAUUCGUCGUUUUGAGUAUUUUUCUGUAUGAAAAUGGAUGGACAAAUAUCGUAUAUUAUAUGACCUCUGUGCUUGCAAAUCUUUUAAGAAAACCUCAAAUGUUAAAAGAAAACAAACAAAUAUUAAGCUGAAUGGAUACAAACUCAUAAUUAUUUGCAACGGUUGUUGAAGUGAUAAUUAUUAAUUUACACUAUGAUGGAAUACGACUAUAUCUUUUUGAGGAUAAAGUAGUUCGGAGUAAUCUAUUCACUCAAACGACAAAAUUUUAUGAUGAACAAAUUUUAAUUUGUCGAAGAACUAUGUAUACAUAUUUAUCCAAAAUAUAGAUGACUGUUAGAAUUCUCCCAUGACUGCCCACACAUCUUCUUUUUGUAUAUAAUAUAAAAAUGAAAUGUAACUAAAAUAUAGAUCGUGAUUAUUCAAAUUUAAUAAUAUUUAAUAUCAGAAUAUACAUCAGACAUCAAUUAUAAUUCGUCGUUUUGAGUAUUUUUCUAUAUGAUAUAUACAAAAUUCAAUAUUCAUAUUUAAUAAUUAUAUUAAUAUUAUAAAUAAAUAGAUAAUUAUAAUAAUAAUAAUAAUAAUUCAUAAUAAAUAAAUUUUGAUAGAUAAUCCAAAUUCUAUUGAAAUUCUUAAUAGCGGUUAUUGGUUUGUUCUUUUUUCCUUUCCCUUUCAAAAUAGGAAACAAUUUAGUGAUUAGAAAAAGCUCCUGUUCAUUACCAAAAGUAAAGUUUAUUAGCAAUCGGCGAUGGGGGAUAUAUAGAUUCCGAGCGAGAAAGAAAGGGAGGAGAAGAGAUGAGAAACAGCAACAAUACGAGUGUUCCAGUGAGCGAAAUGUACUGGUCACUUGUGGCUAAAGCCGAUAAGAAGUUCUCUAAAAUUAGGGAUUUGCCUUAUUACGAACGCAACAGGUCCAUUUCUACCACUAUUUACUCUAUCACUUUUGUGUUUGAUAUAUCAUUCAACUUGUUAUCUGAUCUCUACUUGACUAUUUGUGUUUUCAAUUUAUUAGUUUCUGUAAGCAAGUGAUUACUGGCCAAUUGCUAUGGUUUAUUCGGUUGUUAAGCUGGAUUAGUGAGUAUAUGAUUUUGGUGAAUAUUUUAUUUGUGAAUUUUAAUCUUUAUCUGUAUUUUGGGAUUAUAUUGUAAAACUUAUGUGGUGAAUUAUAUUAUAUUUCGUGAUAAUCAGAGGUUUGUAGGGUAAGAUAGUUUAAAGCGGAACUUAUUUCCUCUCUAAACACACAGAGAGACAUACAAGGACGGAUAACCGAACCGGAUUUUUUUCAAAAAAAAAAAAACGCUGUAUAUAUUAUCAUUAAAGCUAAAAGCCAUGUUUUAUCAAAGUUGCUGCUAAUCAAAGUGAAUCAUUUUUUUUAGUGACAAUACAUGUAAUAAAACAAUAUAAAUUCUCCUUAAUUUUUGUUCAGGAUACCAGUAAGAUAUAUUUGAACUUGGCAAAUUGCAUUAUCAUUCAACUGCAAUGCAAAAUGCAGGACAUAUUUAGGUAUUACAAUGUCGAUUAUAUUAACCAGCAGUAACUAUUUCAGAGUUUAGUUGACGGCUGCAAUUUAUGACUCUGUGAUACAAUAUAACUCACAGGCUAAACUCUAAAGAGUAGACCCGGCAUUUCGUGUUGUGUCCUGUACUUGAAACCCAAACACGAACACGACAUGAAAUUACACAAAAUUUUGUUAUCCGAAAAUACACGACACGUUACAAAGAAAUAGACGACACGAAAGGUACAUGAAAUGAAAUGUAGACGAAAUAUAUAUAUUUUUUCAUUUUUAUUGACCAAUUUGAAAUUACAAGAAUCAAAUUAAUAUGUUUCGUUAUUUCGUAUACAUUUAAUUUCAUUUUUAAUGACUAAGUUGAUACAAAUUUUCAAAUUGGUAAUCAAAUUGAGUCAAUUUUGAAAUGAGUGACUAACGUGAUAUAUUUGAACCAAAAGAAUGAUGACUUUGAUAUUUAUCCCUAUUUAAAUAUUGAUGAUUAAUUAAUUUAUACAUAUGAAUUGAUAUUAUAUCUUUUUUAAUUUAUGAAAUUCUACGAUAAAUAUCAAAUUAUUUAUAUAAAUAUUGUUAUUAAAAUUUAUUAACUUAUAUUAUAAAUUAUUAUUAUUUUAAUUAAUUAGUUAUGUCGUGGAUUCGUUUAGUGACAUGUACACAAAAGGGUGAACCAAAACAUGACAUUGAAUCAGUAAUUUUACACUGGUUCAAAAUGCUUCAUUUGUGUAUAUAAAAGCGGUGACAGUUAUACCUGUUAAUAAACUUUGAAUUCAUGUUUGUGGGGAUGUUUUAGGUACGAUACAUACUUUUCUAAGGUGUUCAAGGCCUAUACACAGCUGUGGAAGUUUCAGCAAGAGAAUCGGCAGAAGCUGGUGGAAGCAGGGCUUAAGAGAUGGGAGAUUGGGGACAUUGCAUCAAGGAUUGGGCAGUUAUACUUUGGGCAGUAUAUGAGGACAAGUGAUCGUAGUUAUUUGUCAGAGUCAUAUAUAUUUUAUGAAGCAGUGUUGACUAGGGAGUAUUUUCGGGAUGGAUUUUCUCAGGAUCUGAAUCUUGCUAUAAAGCAAUUGAGAUUCCUUGCUAGGUUUUUGACAGUGUGUUUGGUGAUGAGCAGACGAGAAAUGGUUUUCCAGUUGGUUAAUCAACUGAAAAUGUUGCUUGAUGAGUGCAAAAGAAUCUUUCAGGUCUUUUCAUUGCAAACCCUUUUUCCAAAGAAUAUGUUGCGGUGUCAUCUUUUCUGGCUAUAUUUAGUCCUGAUCUAACUGUCACGAUUAUUCCAAAAUGUUUUGUCCAUCAUAAACAUUUUGCUUCAUGGUCUCAAGUUGGCGAUUGAAUUAUGGAUAUAGAGGAACCUAAUCGUUAGCAUAAGUUUAGCAGUAAAUUAAAGAUGUGGAAGCAUCUUGCAUGGUUAUGGGUGUCCUGUCAUUUGAAAUUGCUCCAUUUUAUUUAUUUAAAGUGUCAUAGGAGGACUACAAAUUGGUUGCUGUACACUGAGUCUGUUUUCCAUAACCUCUAGCGAGGACCAAAAACAUUAGUGAAGUGGUUUUGGUUUCUGUAAUGUUGUAAGUCGUGCUGUUUAGUAUUUACCAUUAAACUUCGAAGAAAUCCUUACUCUGGAGCAAUAAUUUACUUAAAGAGUAAUAUAAAGGUCACCUUGAAGUAAAGUAUUGAAAUUGUAAAUACUUAGUUGCACAACUUAAUACUUUUUUGGAGAGACCCACUAUUUAUCUUUCCUCUUCUUAAAGUGCAGCAUUGAGGUAUUAUAGUAUUAGAAGUAAAUUACUCAAUGAUUUGACAUGAACAUGUGCCUGAGACUAUUAAUCUAAAUGAAAAGAUCCUCCGUGGUCUGAUGCUUUACACACGAAAUGUUCCAGUUCCAUAUAUGUUGUAAUGCCAGUUUACCUUUAUGUAUUAAAUAUAUAUGUGGUAAGAUGUUAUUUGUUAUGAAUCCUGUUUUGUCAAGUAUGGAUUAAAAUUUGGUUGAUAUUGUUUCCAGGAAACUGACUUUAGAGAAUGGAAGGUGGUUGUUCAGGAGAUAGGUAAAUUUCUGAAGGCUGAUACCGGUUUAAUGAAUUUCAGACCUUUGAGAUACAGUCUUGUACUAGAUCGUCACCCUGAUUAUAUACCUCAUAUUGCUGAUGCCAAGAGAAAGCUCAAACUUAGAGAAGCAAUACUAUGCAGCUACCAUCCUAAUGAGGUUUAUACGUCUUUUCAUCGUAGUUUUUGGGUUUUGUUAACAAGUAUGUACUAACCGAUAUUAUAUUAUAAAGUCUAAUCAAUGCCCAAAUUGUAUAUUCUCUGUUAUGUUUAUAUGUGUAUCAUACAUCCCAGUUUUAAAAUAUUUUAACUAUAUCGAGGUGGUUAGAUACAUGUG